CAGUGCAUUGGUAGCUAGUGAAGCCAGGGGCGGUAGCGUG
rfam:Escherichia coli ISC11, WGS project CBWP01000000 data, contig: c21